UAAGAAAAAGAGCCAACAAACACAUGUGGAUCUUGAUGAUUGGAUAAGGAAUUCAAAUGAAGAAAUUAAACAGAAGUCAGUUUAGAGAGGCGGCUCAGGUCGACAUCCUCUCCUCACCUCCGCGGACCACCGCGUCGGAAAUCGCUUCCGGCGGCGAUGGCCACAAAAAUAGGAAUCGAAUACAUCAACUUGUUCAUCCCACCUCCAUGAUUCAUUCUCAGACCUUAGGGCUAUUGGUACUGAUCCAUACCCAACCUACCGGUAACUAGAAACGAAGAAAACAAGAUGAAAUUUAGAAUGCCUACCGGAGUAGCUCGAAGGUGACGAUGACAAUGAAGUCUCAGGGUUCUUCUUCCAUAGAUUGGCAAUAUGAAUAUGCGACAAGACUUGGCGGUGGACUUGUUCCAUGAUCUAGAUAGUGGCUGCAGCUUUUCAUGGAUGGAUUAUGUCAUCUAAGCGUGUAUACUCAUCAUUGCUUCCAAUCCUUCUUUGUUCCCACUACUUAAGCAUAGUCUUUGUAAGGUAAUGAAGAGGUUAUCCAUAAAGCUUCUUAAUGGAUGUGCCUAAUUCCAUCCAUGAGGCAAAUGGGAUAACAGAGCCUCGAUUACUCUUGGUUUUGGAAUCUACUGCAUGUAAUCCGGAUACAUUGUUGCCCGUCUGAUGAUUACAUCCGGGGAAUUGAUAUUUAUUGAGGGUAUUAAGAUCGGACUGUGGAUUGUUGGAAGAUUGGGAAUAGGAUUUGUAAGAAAGCCAUCACUCGAUACUGAUGGAAAUGACAUCUUCUUUGUGGUCGAAGAACACACUCCCAUUCCUUCAACUUCUUCAAGAUAAGUGGUAGAAUGAUUUUCUGGUCCCCCGACAUGAUGGUUUCCUCCAAUAUUAUGUCUACCCGAUUUCAAAGAUCAUCCAAACAUUGCAGCAGUUUUUUUUGGUGUUAUUGUCAUGAUCAUUUGGGACGUUUCUUCACUUUGGAAAGCCCAACAGGUAAAAUCAUUUUCUGAAAAGAGAGAUGAAGAAGUUGUUUUGUAGAAUGCUAAAGGAACAUGCUUCACCCUCUGAGUAAUCUUUGCUCCAAGUAUUGUUGCAUAAGAAACAUUGCUAAACUCACCAACAUCGUAGGACUUUGUCAAGAAAUCAGAUAACAUGAUGGGAUUAGACAGAUGGGGAAGCACUGCUUGGUGAAGAUUAAUAAGAACCUCUUUGUACACAUCAAGUGGAAGUGGCAAUCUAAGAUAUGCAAUCCAAGCUUUAGUAAAUUUUAACUUCAUAUUCUUGGCAAUUCUGUCAACAGACAAUACAUAAUUUUCAUGCUUCUUGGACUUAAGCUGCUUGUCAUCCAGAUCUCCGGAAAGCACUAUAUUAUCACUUUUUGAUACACUCCACAUUUUGAAAGCAUAUGUAUCAUCAGAUUUUCAAGAAAAGGGGCAUGUGAAAUGGUGUAGUAUAUAUUAUGGAUGACCCUCAAUAUUUGAGCUCAAUUGACUUUCAUUAGUGCCAUCUACACUUGCAGUUUUAUCAUCAAUAACAUCUUUUUCUUCCAAAUUUCUAGCAAAUUUUUCAAGACUUAUGAAUGUAAAAUAACUGACAUCAAUAUAGUUGAAAUACUUUGAUGUUAGUAAAUCAAUCAAAAAUUCAGCAGAACUAGAAGAGUGAAGAAUGCUACUGAUAAUUCUGUUAUACAAAGAAGAAUGAAAGGGUUGUAUGUAAUCAGAGCUCAAGAUGUAUGUGUAUGGUUUAUGUAUGGAAUUGUAGUUUCGGAAAUUGGUUUCAAAUGGUCAUUUGAAUAGAGUUGGAAUUUUGGAAGUUGGUUUGAAAUGUUCAUUUGAAUAGAGUUGGAAUUUUGGAAUUUGGUUUGAAAUGUUUGGUUUUUUUUAAUACAUAAGUUGGUAUGCAUUAGAAAGUGACUUAGAAUGUUUGUAAUUGAAUUUUGGUUGUGAUCAUUUGAUGUAAAAAAUAAAAUUGGAAUUUUGUAUUGGAUUGAAA